UUCCAAAGGAAGCAAAGUUGCUUCAGGCCACUUUGUUGUUCUCAGACAAAUUAGCCUAUGUAGGCAUCCAUUUCCUCAUUUGUGAAAUAAGAAAAACCCACUUCUUUGGAUUGUUGUGGGGGAUAUAUUUUAUACAGAAGUACAUUGUGUGUGUGUGCAAGCCUAGGACAAAACAUUUCUGAAUAAAUUCAGAUACCUUCCCCACAUCUCACCCUAUUAAAAGCAGAACGAACUGGAGGAAGGGCAUAUUUCUUCCCUGUUCAGAACAUUUACUGGCACUCCACGCCCUAUGAGAUUAAGAACAAACCCUGCCUUGUAUUCAAAACCUUUACCAUAAAACUCCACUUCUCACUCCUCACGGAACAUGAUCUGCAUUUGCUCACCUGUAUACUCUUCUCCUGUCCCUUUCUCUGCUUGUACUGGUCUCUCUCAAUUUUGCCAAAAUGUUAUCCAUCACUUGAGUCUCAAAAAGUGUGGAAAUUCUACACAAAUCAAAUUUCGGAGACUUAGACCCUUCGCAGUCCACAAGCUUAUCAAUUCUCAGAGCUUCAAGUUCAGGUAGAGCUUGGGUCCUGAUCUCUCUGAUAACUUCGACUUGUCUAUACCCUGGGGUUAGUCAUUCAUAAUAAUGCAUCAGUAGUAGUUCACCACCUGUCACAAAUGUACCACACCAAUGUAAGAAGAUAAUAACCAGGCAGGUAUAUUUCUCACCAUCCACUCUUAAACUUGGUACUCUGCCUACCUCCAUUCUUUUUAUGGAUCCUAUUGAAUAAUUUGUUAUUUCUUUUACAUUUGAAAAGAUACAAUACAGAAAAAAUUCAUUCUUCAGCAAACACUUGUUGAAUACCAUUUACUAAUUACAUAAGUUUUACUAUAAUAAUACUAAAGUACUGGAACAUAGUGCUUUAAUACAUUUCUGAUGAGAUCUGAAAGUUAGAUUCAUUUGUAAUAGAUGGUAUUUUGGCUCAAAAUAUCCAUUGCCUCUUCCAUAGGGCCCCAGCCUAUGGGAGGAAGACAUACCUGUGCUCAGAGCAGGCUUGGUCAUGCGACUUGCUUUGAUCAUUUGAUCAUUGGAAUAGGACUGGAGCAGACCCACUUUUUUUUUUUUCCUUUUUAGGGCUGCACCCACAGCAUACGGAGGUUCUCAGGCUAGUGGUCAAAUUGGAGCUGCAGGCUGCCCGCCUACGCCACAGCCAUAGCAACGCGGGAUCUGAGCUGCUUCUGCGACCUACACCGCAGUUCACAGCAACAUCAGAUCCUUAACCCACUGAGCGAGGCUAGGGAUCGAACCCACACCCUCAUGGUUCCUAGUCAGAUUCGUUUCCGCUGUGCCACGAUGGGAAUGCCUGUCCUAUUUCUGAAAGAGCUUUAAGAGUCAUUCUCUGGUCGGUCACCACCCCCUCUUUUUCAUUCCGACAUGAAACUGCCAUGUUUUAGAUAGGGCUGCAUUUUCAUCCUUGGUUCUGACAUGACAAAGACAUGAAACUGAGUCAAAUCUGACCCCAGUAUAGACAUGAGAAAUAAACCUUUGUUGUGAGCCA
rnacentral:lncRNA from 1 species